CACAUACCAUUCUUUGAUGUACCAGUCGUGGACAAAAGGAUGAGUGCCAGAAAUAUUUUCUAGUUCAAUCAUAUUUAUAAUUUUAGUAUAUUAUAAAAUUCACAUCAUUUUAUUUUUGUACCAUGACGUCAUGACCCUGCUCACAGCCGAUAUAUGUUAUGUGACUAAAGGAAUGCAUGCAGUGUUACGUGUUAUGCGACAUCAGGUACUACCUUUGCUUAAAGAAUGACGUAUUCAACAGGUAGCAAGGACCGUCUACCCCUAAACGAUGAGACCAAAUGACCAAUGAAAAGGCUGGAUUACCGUUUAGGUGACGUGUGCUAGACGUUUUAUCUAGCACCUUUCUACAGAUUGAUUGAACUAGAAAGGACUACACAUUAGAGCCUCUUAUCAAUUGUGUGACACAGUUUGAGAUUGAGGAAAAAAACCCACUGGGUUCACCAAGGAGAUCUGUCCUAUUACCCAUCAGACACAUCCCGCCACUAGAGUGGAGCACAUUUCACUGUUGGUGAGACCAGGCCUGGAAUGUGGAGAUGGAUAGCAAAAGAAAUUGAACAAAUAUGUUGAACAUCAUAUAUUGUAGGUUCUGUUAGUCUACACACAUGAGCAAAAUAUAGUAGAUAUUGAAAAAUAUAGUAGAUAUUGAAACUUGUGCUAUGUCUACAUAUGCCAUUCUAUCCCAAUACAUGCCAAAUCUGCAUAGAUCAUGGCAUUAUCAUUGUGAUUUAUGGGUGGAUUUUCUUCUCCUUUUUUUUUUAUGCCAUAUUUGUGCAACUUGUCUUGAUGUACAUUUUAUUUUUGUGCUCAAGUGCUGAAAUUCAUGUUUUGCUAGUAUUUAAUAGUUGGUAGUUUUAAUACAGCAGUUUCUGCACAUUAUUAUGUUUUGUGGUGACCUCAUACAUGCAAUACCAAUAAUAAUUGAAAAUCAG